rnacentral:lncRNA from 1 species
AAAUAUGGUGAAGUGGUGCUUGACAGUUCUCUCUCCCCGCCCACAACCUGUUGCUGAAUCUUGAUCAAUUUGACUCUAAACAAGAUCAACUGAUAUAUUUAAUGCUAAGGAUGUUUCACUUUUAAAACAAAAAUUUUUAUAGCUGGGGGAUUCAUUUUGAGAGCACAACUAGUACCACAUGAAGACUUGCAACUAUGAUUCUAAGGCUAUAAUCUCUUUGAGAAAAGGAAAUGGCCAGAGGAAGCUGAAUCUGAAAAUGAGUGGAAGCAUAGAAGAGCACUUAAUGUUAUGGGAACUGGGAUAUCCAGGAACUGGCUGUUUUAAAAGGUUAAAAAAAAAAAAUAAAAGAAUUAGAGAAAGAUAAACCUACAAGAAA